rnacentral:lncRNA from 1 species
ACGCAUAAAUUGGCUAAAGUAUGGUGAUAGGAAUACUGCUUUCUUUCAUAGUCAAGCCACACAUCGGAGAAGGAGAAAUUUGAUUCACAAAAUAAAGGAUUGGUAGGGAAGGGAAACAGAGAUUAUCCCAGAAAUAGAAGGCAUUGCACGGGCUUACUUUUAAAGGUUAUUUACAUCAAAAGGAAGGGGAAAUCAUAAUCAAUUUUUACUAGAAGUUGGCAGGUGUAUAUCUGAGGAGGAUAAUCAAUUGCUAAUGACAUCCUACACAAAGGACGAGAUUAAAGCCGCAGUGUUUGAGAUGGGACCCAUUAAAGCCCCAGGGGAAGAUGGAUUAUCGACAUUAUUUUAUCAAAAGUGUUGGCAUAUUAUGGGAGAGGAUGUCACCAAAUUCUACUUACGAACUCUAAAUGAGGAUAAGGAUUUCGAACAGGUAAAUUCUAUACACAUUGUGCUUAUUCCAAAAGUAUUCCAAAAGUUGCUGACCCCGUAAACAUGAUGUAGUUUAGACCAAUUAGCCUAUGUAAUGUGAUUUAUAAAAUCAUGGAGAAAGCUAUUGCCAAUAAGCUUAGAGGGGUUAUUGGGAAAUGUAUUAAUGUGGCACAAAGUGCUUUUGUACCAGGGAGAUUGAUCUUAGAUAAUAUUCUACUUGCUUAUGAAAUUCUUCACACGUUGAAACAGAAGCGAGUGGGGUAAAAAGGUUUUAUGGCAGUGGAACUUGAUAUGAGUAAAGCAUACGAUCGAGUUGAGUGAAAAUUUAUUGAAGAAAUAAUGAUUCGUAUGGGCUUUGCCUACUGGAUUGAGACUAUUAUGAAGUGCAUAAAUUCUGUUACCUAUUCGAUAAUAGUUAAUGGAUUUGAAGGGGAAAAUUUUCAACCGAUGAAGGGGCUGCACCAAAGGGAUCCACUCAGCCCUUUUAUGUUACUUAUAUGUGGGGAAGGCUUAGCUUGUCUAAUAAAUCGUGCAAUGCGUGAAGGGUUGUUGAAAGGUGUAAAAGCUAAGGAGUGGACCGCAGGUGUCGCACUUACUCUUCGCUGAUAACUGCAUUUUAUUUAGUGAAGUAACGAGUAGAGGAGCUAAUAUCUUAAAAGAAAUCCUUAGAAAGUACAAAAUGUGUUAAGGGCAAUGCGCUAAAUUUGACGACAAAUCAGUAGUCCUUUUUAGCAAGAAUACACCUGAUGUUGAUAGAAGAGUGGUGGGUAAUAUAUUGGGAGUACGAAGCUCGGGUGACCUAAAGUGUUACCUAGGAUUACCUAACAUGGUAGGCAAAAAGAAAAGGGAGUCAUUUCAGAUUUUAAAGAGGAUCGAAUUAAGCAACGCAUUGAUCAAUGAAGUACGAGACAUUUAUCACAAGGAGGGAAAGAAGUAUUUAUUAAGUCCAUACUCCUAGCCAUCCCAACUUACUCAAAGGCCUGUUUCCUUUUACCUAAGACAUUGUGCAGUGAGAUUGAGAAUAUUAUUGCCAAGUUUUGGUAGCAGAAGGGCCAUGGAAGAAGGGGUAUACACUGGUGUGCGUGGAGGAACCUUUGUACUUUGAAGGAAAAUAGAGGUAUUGGAUUUCAAAAUAUUAUUCAGUUUAAUAUCGCUAUGUUAGCUAAACAAGGGUGGCGACUCAUUAAUUAUCCAAAUUCCUUACUGGCAAAAGUUCUUAAAGCUAAGUAUUAUCCAAGUUCAGACUUUUUUAAUGCACAGUUGGGAAACUCACCAUCUCUUACCUAGAAGAGUGUCUAGGCUACAAAAGGAUUGUUACGAAGUGGGCUGAGUUGGAGAGUUGGAGAGUUGGAUGGGGAACUGGAAUCUCAGUAUGGAAUGAUCAGUGGGUACCAGGAAUUGAUACGAUUGUUAGGAGCCACGGAAACAACAAUGAAGUCCAAUUAGUUUUAGAUUUAAUUGAUGCAACAAAUAAUAUGUGGAAGAAAGAAUUAGUGCUAAGUACCUUCCCAGUAGACACUGCCCAAAAGAUUUUGCAAAUUCCUCUGGCGGAACUCCUAGGAGUUGAUUUUCAGGUGUGGAAGGGUGAGCUUUCUGGUGAGUUUUCGGUCAGAAGUGCUUACAAACUAUUACAAAUCACUAGCUCGAAUCCUAACGACUGAUUAUUACAAACCGAUUUAAAAAAUUUCUACAAAAAGCUCUGGAAUUUACAGCUCCCCUCAAAGAUUACUAUUAUAGUUUGGAGAGCAUCAUAGAACUAUAUGCCUACUCUAGUUAAUUUGCGAUCUAAACAAAUAGCCGACACUGCUGCUUGUCCUCGAUGUAGAUCUGGGGAGGAAGAUAUAUCUCAUGUCUUUCUGUAUUGUCUUGUAGCAAUAGAAGUUUGGCAAAUGUUAGAUCUUCCUUGGGUUAAUAACUUUUUGGUUCAAAGGUUCUGGGAAUGGCUUACUUGGAUUUUCCAAAAGAGCACUCCCAAACAAGGUCGAUUGAUUUGCUGUGGCAUAUGGGUCCUGUAGGGGUCAAGAAACAAGCUCAUGCAUGAAAGAAAAUUUGUGUCAGGAAGAGAGAUAGCAUCAAAAGUUCAAAGGUAUGUGGCCAAGAUUGAUGGUCUAACAGAAAAAAAGUGUACCUUGUAUACAGCUACGAGGGCCAUUCAAAUCAAAACGAGUUUUGGGAUGACGAUUCACUUUGAUGCUGCCUUUAAUCGAAGGGAUUUCAAAUCGAUGGCAGGCCUGGUGGUUCUAGAUCAUAUGAGAGUAAUCCUUGCUACGAAAACGGUCUUAAAUUCAAAUAUUUCAACUUCUUUUGCAACAGAAGCUUAUGCAGGUCUUCAUGCGAUUAAUCUUGGACUUUCCAUGGGUAUACACUCAGUUACGGUAAAGGGGGACUCACGAACCGUCAUAAAGAAAUGUCAAACAUCGAUGCAAGAUAAGUCAGUUAUAGGAGCAAUAAUCAGUGAUAUUCAAAAAAAGUCAAGAGUUUUUUCAAGAAAUCAGAUUCCAAUUUAUCAAUAGAACCGAGAACGUCUUGGCUCACAAAAUUGCAGAAGAAGCGCUAAGAAGGGGAGAAAAAACACACCUGGAAGGAGAGGUAUUACACCGCCUUUAUGUGCGCUCGGAGGGAAGAUAGAGUAGGCUCCCAAAUUGAGAAUGGCUUUUUGUGAAAGAUGAAAAAGAAUGGAUAGCAUACUAUGGAAGAAACUGAAAAGCUAUCAAAUGCAGCAGAUGGGUGUAUUGGAAAUGAAAGGACAAUUUGUAAAUGGUGUCCAGCUGCAAUCUGAUUCGACUAGUAAUUAGUACCCUAGGUUUCCUAUUUUCGUAGCUUUAAGUAUUCUGCUUUCCACUAGUUUUUGUCUCUCUUUUAUUUUUAUUUUUAUUUUUUCUUUAAUGGACAGGUUGGGGUAUACCCAAUAGGCCCAUAUUUUAGAACCCAAUUUCUGUUUUGUUUAAUUUUAAUUAAUGGCUACUCGAUUUUUAUUCAAA